GGGUAGAAUCCUUUGCAGACGACU
rnacentral:ncRNA from 2 species